rnacentral:rRNA from 1 species
AAACGCUUGAAGUCAGUCGCGUUUGGCGGGACUCAGCCUUGCUUUUGCUUGGUGUACUUCCUGUCAGACGGGUCAACAUCAGUUUUGACCGGUGGAUAAGGGCUUGGAGAAUGUGGCAUCUUCGGGUGUGUUAUAGCUUCAGGUCGUAUACAUCGGUUGGGACUGAGGAACUCAGCACGCCGAAAGGCCGGGUACUUGUACCACGUUCGUGCUUAGGAUGUUGGCAUAAUGGCUUUAAUCGA